rnacentral:rRNA from 1 species
GAUAAACGCUAGCGGUGCGCCUAACACAUGCAAGUCGAGCGAUCGAACUGGACUGAUCACCCUUCGGGGUGAGAGGACCAGUGACGGAGCGGCGGACUGGUGAGUAACGCGUAGCCAACCUACCCCCUUGACGGAGAUAACUACCUGAAAGGUAGCUAAUACCCGAUAUUGCUCGAGAUCGAAAGAUCUUGAGCCAAAGGCGGUCUUGCCGUCGCAAGAGGAGGGGGCUGCGUCCUAUUAGCUUGUUGGUGGGGUAAUAGCCCACCAAGGCGAUGAUGGGUAGCUGGUCUGAGAGGAUGGCCAGCCACAUUGGGACUGAGAUACGGCCCAGACUUCUACGGGAGGCAGCAGUGGGGAAUCUUUCGCAAUGGGCGAAAGCCUGACGGAGCGACACCGCGUGGGGGAUGAAGGCUUUCGGGUUGUAAACCUCUUUUCUGGGGGAAGAAUAAGGGCGGGAGGAAAUGCCCGUCCGAUGACGGUACCCCAGGAAUAAGCAUCGGCUAACUUCGUGCCAGCAGCCGCGGUAAGACGAAGGAUGCAAGCGUUAUCCGGAAUUACUGGGCGUAAAGGGCGCCUAGGCGGCUGAGUAAGUCACCCGUGAAAGCCCUCAGCUCAACUGAGGAAUGUCGAGUGAAACUGCUCAGCUUGGGUGCAGGAGAGGAGGGUGGAACUCACAGAGUAGCGGUGGAAUGCGUAGAUACUGUGAGGUACCCCGAUGGCGAAGGCAACCCUCUGGCUGCUACUGACGCUGAAGCGCGAAAGCGUGGGGAGCAAAGGGGAUUAGAUACCCCCGUAGUCCACGCCGCAAACGAUGUUCACUGGGUGUCGGUCGCUAAUACAGAUCGGUGCCGGAGCUAACGCGUUAAGUGAACCGCCUGGGGAGUACGGCCGCAAGGCUAAAACUCAAGAGAAUUGACGGGGCCCCGCACAAGCGGUGGAGCACGUGGUUUAAUUCGAUGAUAAGCGAAGAACCUCACCUGGGUUUGACAUGCUAGUGGUAGGAACCGGAAACGGGGACGACCCUUGCCUUCGGGUAAGGGAGCUAGUACAGGUGAUGCAUGGCUGUCGUCAGUUCGUGUCGUGGGACGUUGGGUUAAGUCCCGAAACGAGCGCAACCCCUGUCGUCAGUUGCCAGCGGGUAAAGCCGGGGACUCUGACGAGACUGCCGGUGAAUAGCCGGAGGAAGGAGGGGAUGACGUCAAGUCAUCAUGUCCCUUAUGCCCAGGGCGACACACAUGCUACAAUGGGGGGUACAAAGGGCUGCAAUGCCGUAAGGCUGAGCCAAUCCCAAAAAACCUUCCUCAGUUCGGAUUGAGGUCUGUAACUCGACCUCAUGAAGCCGGAAUCGCUAGUAAUCGCAGGUCAGCCACACUGCGGUGAAUAUGUACUCGGGGCUUGUACACACCGCCCGUCACACCAACCGAGUGGGGGGUACUUGAAGUCGCUCUUUAUGGAGCGCCGAGGGUA